rnacentral:misc_RNA from 1 species
GACGGAGGGCGCGAGCGUUGUUCGGAAUUACUGGGCGUAAAGCGCGGGCAGGCGGUCUGUUAAGUCUGCUGUGAAAUCCCGGGGCUCAACCCCGGGCAUGCAGCGGAUACUGGCAGACUAGAGACCGGUAGAGGCUAGUGGAAUUCCUGGUGUAGCGGUGGAAUGCGUAGAUAUCAGGAAGAACACCUGUGGCGAAGGCGGCUAGCUGGGCCGGUUCUGACGCUCAUCCGCGAAAGCGUGGGGAGCAAACAGG